rnacentral:rRNA from 1 species
CCUACGGGAGGCAGCAGUGGGGAAUAUUGCACAAUGGGGGAAACCCUGAUGCAGCGACGCCGCGUGAGUGAAGAAGUAUUUCGGUAUGUAAAGCUCUAUCAGCAGGGAAGAAAAUGACGGUACCUGAUUAUGAAGCCCCGGCUAACUACGUGCCAGCAGCCGCGGUAAUACGUAGGGGGCAAGCGUUAUCCGGAUUUACUGGGUGUAAAGGGAGCGUAGACGGCAGCACAAGUCUGGAGUGAAAUGCCUGGGCUUAACCCGGGAACUGCUUUGGAAACUGUGCAGCUAGAGUGCAGGAGAGGGAAGUGGAAUUCCUAGUGUAGCGGUGAAAUGCGUAGAUAUUAGGAGGAACACCAGUGGCGAAGGCGGCUUACUGGACUGUAACUGACGUUGAGGCUCGAAAGCGUGGGGAGCAAACAGGAUUAGAUACCCUGGUAGUC